AUUGAACGCUGGCGGCAUGCCUUACACAUGCAAGUCGAACGGUAACUGGUCUUCGGAUGCUGACGAGUGGCGAACGGGUGAGUAAUACAUCGGAACGUGCCCGAUCGUGGGGGAUAACGAAGCGAAAGCUUUGCUAAUACCGCAUAAGAUCUACGGAUGAAAGCAGGGGACCGCAAGGCCUUGCGCGAACGGAGCGGCCGAUGGCAGAUUAGGUAGUUGGUGGGAUAAAAGCUUACCAAGCCGACGAUCUGUAGCUGGUCUGAGAGGACGACCAGCCACACUGGGACGUAGACACGGCCCAGACGCCGACGGUAGGCAGCAGUGUGGAAUUUUGGACAAGGGGCGAAAGCCUGAUUCAGCCAUGCCGCGUGCAGGAUGAAGGCCUUCGGGUUGUAAACUGCUUUUGUGCGGAACGAAAAGACUCUUUCUAAUAAAGAGGGUCCAUGACGGUACCGUAAGAAUAAGCACCGGCUAACUACGUGCCAGCAGCCGCAGUAACAC
rnacentral:rRNA from 1 species